CGUCACUCGAACAUUCUUUGCCCUUACUUCUAAAGAUGCAAAUUAAAUUUAUCAAAUUUAAUUUAUUAAUUUAUAAAAUAAAAUUAACCUAAAAAAUUGUUGGCAUGGAAAUUCUACUUGGUUUUCCAUAGACUAAAAGCUCGUAUCACCUUUGGUCCAUCUGCUACCACGACAGGAUCAGCUGCUAUACAAAACAAAGAUAGUUUUGCGCGUUUAUUCGAGCUUGAACUAGCCAGGAGUUUAAUAAAACAUAAGCAUUUAGUAUCGAAGACGAAAAAUGAGAACGGAAAUCAAGG